AACGCAUAUUGCGCUCGAAGCUUCGGCUUAGAGCAUGUCUGCCUCAGCGUCGAUGUAACCCUCAUCCCUCCUUCUGGAUGGAAUGGAUCUGAUCGUCUCGGUACUCCGUACCGGGUUGAUUGAAGCGCAGAGGCUGAUUCAGGACCUUCAUGGUCGCAUCUAGGUAGGUGGCUUUACGCUCCAUAUUUGGAUGUUGGCUUGGUACUGGAUCACGCCCUUAACCAGGAACUUUCUACAUCUCGACCUGAGCUCAGGCAAGAACACCCGCUGAACUUAA
rnacentral:misc_RNA from 1 species